GAGAAGUUCGUGUCAGUGAACGCAACAUGAGUAACUAAAAGCCUAGUUUGUCAGUGAAAACACCAGAAGGUACUGAAAAUAUAUGAACUUAAUGUCAGUGAACACACCACAAGGAGAUGAAAACAUGAGAUGUUUGUCAGUAAACGCAGCACAAGACACUAGAAACUUAAAUAUGUCAGUGAACGCACCAUGAGGCACUGAAAACAUAAAGAGUUAAUGUCAGUGAACGCACCAUGAGGCCCUGAAAACAUAGAGUUAAUGUCAGUGAACGCACCAUGAGGCAUUGAAAACAUAAAGAGUUAAUGUCAGUGAACGCACCAUGAGGCACUGAAAACAUAAAGAGUUAAUGUCAGUGAACGCACCAUGAGGCCCUGAAAACAUAAAGAGUUAAUGUCAGUGAACGCACCAUGAGGCACUGAAAACAUAGAGUUAAUGUCAGUGAAUGCACCAUGAGGCACUGAAAUCAGAGUUAGUAUAAGAAUAGAAGAACUUGUCAGUGAAUGCACCAUGAAAAGUUGGAAUAUAAGAACUUCAUGUCGUGAAUGCACCACAAACAACUAAAACCAUAAGGAUGUUAUGUCAGUAAACGCAUCACAAUCUGCAAUAAAAAAACAGAGUUUACGUCAGUGAACGCACCACGAGGCACUGAGAAACAAAUGUCUGUUAAGUCGUUAAAGAUCUGAUCUCAUUAACGAGCCGAUUGAUUAGUUAACGAUCAGUUAUUGAUCAGUGGAGCAGCAGACCUUCAACCCCUCGUGUGUGUUAACUGGAGGAUGUAAGCGUGUUUAUGUGCACACGUGUGUUCUCAGCUCCAUGUUCUCACCCGUCUGUCCUCUCUGCAGGACUUCAACGUCCACCAAGGCUGAAACUUCUUCUCCUGAUUCUUCGUCUCUAGCAACAACCUGCAGAGUUCACAAUAAUCAAUAAUAACAGAGAUUAUAAUCAAUUAAAAAAAAAAUAAAAAUCAAUAAUCAGAGAUAAAAAUCAAUAAUAAAAAAGAUUAUAAUCAAUAAUAAGAGAUACAAAUCAAUAAUAAAAGAGAUUAUAAUCAAUCGUAAAAGAGAUAAAAAAUCAAUAAUGAAAGAGAUUAUAAUCAAUAAGAUAUUAGAAUCAAUAAUUAUAAGUAUCAGUUCAUCAGUCUGUUCCAGUGUUUGUUGUUGUUUUUAUUUAUUUGUUUUAUUUAUUUUUCCUGUUCAUUAAAAGUUCUGCAGCUCAGGUGGAUUCCAGCUGUGAAGCUUUUAGUCUUCAUCUCUGCUCUGGUUCUCCUGCUGGACAUUAGUUCCACCUGAGAACACCUGAACUCACCUGAACAUCACGCCUGCAGACGGUUCUACGUUCCUGAUUCCAUGUUUUCAUCAUUCAGUCCAAGUUCAGGGAUACUUUCAUUACAUUUAUAUUCAGCUACACUAUGGGCACGGUGAUGUCAUACAGGUAAACUCACCUGUAGUAUUUAAAGUAAACUCACCUGUAGUAUUCAGGUAAACUUACCUGUAGAAUGUGUCGGUCGAAGGCAUUCAGUCUGUUGGUCCUGGCGAUCAGAACCCCCCCCUGAGUGACUUGGUACAAUCCAGACGGAGGAUGCAGGGAGUAGUGGACGUUUGGAUUCAGGCCCUGUGAUUGGACAGCAGUGAUGACUCACCAGGUGUGAUGCAGGUGGAGACGAUGGAGGCGGGGCUAGAGCUCUGGAUGAUGAAGCCUUUGAAGGUGGUUCUGUUGAAGACGGGGGGGAACGUGUUCUCAUACAGAACUCUGACCAGAACCGACGCCACGCUGUACUUCAACCUGUCGUCCACCUGGCACACCUGGACAGGGGAGACGGACAGGUAAACACCUGGCUGCUGCUGGGAAUGAGGCAGGAAACAGGAAGUAGUCAUUACCAUGACGUUGAGCGUGAAGUUUGGCGUCUGCCGCCGGUCGUCCACCGGUCUGGUCAACCUGACCUCACCUGUCCUGUUGUUGAUCACAAACCGGCCCUGAUCCCCACCUGUGGAGCCAAACACAUACACCUGUACACACCUGGUGUGUUUUUACCUGCUGAUAGUGGCGAUGAACUUACCUGAGAGGAUGGAAUAGAUCAGAGGAGCGUCAAUCCCUCGGUCUCCGUCCUCUGCUCUGAUUGGUCCUGGAGAAAACUCCAGAACCGCGUCCUGAAACACAGAACACACCUGGAGCCACAGCACCGACCAAUGAGCAUGAAGCAGCAAAUACACCUGGUGUCUCAGGUAGAAGGUGGUAACUCCUGAAGGUGUUGACAUGACGUCUUUGGUGUUUACCUGGUGGGGUUCAUGCAGACAGGAACACCUGGAGACACAGGUGUGCAGGGCAGGAAGUGAGGAUACUGGUCGUCUCCGUCCUUGAUGUUGAUGUUGAGGACAGCAGACGUGUUGAACUUCUCCUUAGUGUUCGAUUCCUGUCAGGAUGAUCUUCAGGUGAGUUCUGGUCUCAUAGUCCAGAGCUUUAUCCAGAACGAUGCUUCCGCUGUUGGGCAGGUCCACCCUGAAGAACCAGGCGUCUGGCUGCAGGUAACAGUGGACAGGUGACAUCAGAGAGACGGGUGACAUCACAGACAGGUGACAUCACAGAGACAGGGGACAUCACAGGUUUGUUGACAGCUUACCGAUGACUGAUCAAUGAUGUAACUGAUCAUGUCUCCGUCUUCAUCGAUCGCCUUCACGGUGAAAACCACAGAGUUCACCGCCAUCAGCUGCACAGGUGGAGAGAAAAACAGGAAGACGGUCAGUAAACGACCAGGUGAUGAGGUCACCUGACUCUGGUUAGCUCGUUAGCUCGUUAGCACAUUUUACCUCGCUGACGGUGAACGGCUGAAUUGUCUCCUGCAGGAAGUUCGGUCGGUUGUCAUUCUCGUUGAGGAUCUCCACCAGGAGCCGGUAGCGACUCUGAAACAGAUUCAACUCUGCUGAAAGACUCUCAGGUAUCAGGUGUGUUUACUGCUGCAGACAGGUGUCAGGUGACCUACCUGGAUGAUGUCAUCCUCAUAACAGAUGAGCUCUGCUACCAGGAUGGACCCCUGAACCUGAGAGACCAACACAGCCGAGUUAUUGACCGACGGUCCAGGUUAGAGACAGAAUUUGAGCUCAAAGUUUCAGGUGUGUUUCAGAUGUAUUUCAGGUGUGUUUCGGGUGUGUUUCAGGUGUGUUUCAGGUGUAUUUUAGGUGUGUUUCAGGUAUGUUUCAGGUGUAUUUCAGGUGUAUUUCAGGUGCAUUUCAGGUGUGUUUCAGCUGCAGGAGAUUGGUGUCUCCAGCUGAGGUGUGUUUUAAGUUUGUUUGGGAUCCAGGUGUUUUUAGGGUGUUGCUGAGCUCCAGGUGAAGUGUCUUUAAGGUGUAUUUCAGUUGCAGGUGAAGUGUUUUAAGGUGUAUUUUAGCUCCAGGUGUGUUUCAAGUUUGUUUAAGCUCCAGGUGCGGUGUGUUCCAAGAAUGUUUCAGGUGUCUUUGAGCUCCAGGUGAGGUGUUUGAACUCUAGUUAAGGUGUGUCUGAGGUGUGUCUCCAGGUGUGUUUGAGCUCUAGGUCAGGUCUAUUUCAGGUGUGUCUCGAGCUGUGUUACCUCUC